rnacentral:lncRNA from 10 species
UAAACUUCCUGCUCAGUUUCCAGAGACCCCAACCUAGAACAGCUAUUCAGAGACUGGUGUGUGUGCAUGCGUGCGUGCUUGUGCACGCCUGUGCUGUUUGCAUGGGGUGGGGGACAGAGUGGAGGACCCAAGGAGGACUGCGUGUACACAGUGGGUGGCAGGAUCUUUAUUUAAAGUUUACUAAGUAAUUCCUUUCUCACCAGCACCCGUUUCUCUUGUGGAAUGUGUCUCUAGAAUCCAGUUUAAACUAGCCUCCCAGGUGGUUCUGAUGGAGUGCAGAAAUCCCGGGGCCAGAGUUGCAAAUUGGGCCACAACCCCUCCUAGCGUAGCCGCGUGCUAGGGCAAAGCCAUGGGGGCCUUUCGGAGCCUCAGUUUUCUCUUAUGUAAAGUACAGCGUCCACAUGCCAGGGUGAGAUCACGCAGGUGAAUCGCUGAACCUGACUCCUAAUCCGUGAAAGCCAAAUUUAAAAAUAAAAUGUUGAGGGAGGGGCCGGGGUCCCUGGGAAGGGUCCCCCCUUCUCUGCAUCUCCCAGGACGCCUGGCCUGGGUCCCUCUCGGGGCGGCCAGGGUUAAGUGAGGGCAGACGCAGCGAAUGAUUUCAGAGAAACCGUCCAGGCCUGAGUUCCCAUAAACGCGCGGGCCGCAGGGGGUGGGGCGGGGCUGGAGGAAGUGGGGACGGGAGGGGCGACCCAGCCCUCGGACUUCCAGUAACAGGUCUGCUGGGCGGGGCUCUGCUUCCUGCUCCCGGGGGAGGGAAGCCUGUCCCGCCGGGGAUCUACCCUGGCCACCCCUGGCACCCCAACUUCCAUCCUCGAAUGGGGCGGGGGAAGGGAGUGCCCAGCCCAAGAAGACCUAGCUCCCUUGAGGUGUGUGUGUGUAGGGGGGGCGCAUAAUCCCGAGUCCUCCCGCCUGGGGGACCCUCUGGAACUCCACCCCGCAGAGCUCAGGCUCCAGCUGGCUGCAAGUCCUCCUUAUCCCGGCAUCCACCCCCAACAUCUCUUGGGAGCCAGAAAUAGCCCUAACUCUUCUUUAAGAAUAAGGACUUCCCCCGUCCUUCAGAGCUCCAGGAUCCCAAACUACCUUGCCAGUCCUUGUCCCCUCAGAGACCCAGAAAUACAGCGCCUCAAACCCUGGCCCUUUGGGAACACAGACUUUCAGGCCCCUUGGCGUGACCAGUUUCACCAGCCCAACGUCCUGCUGCCGCUGUCGUGAAAUUCUUAAGUUUUGAACAAGGGACUCUGCAAAUUUCUGUAUCUGGUCCUGCCCGUAAAGCCCCUCUGAGUGCCAGGUCCCCAAGCUGCCAAGCUGCUCCUCAUCCCCUCGGAGAUUAAGGAAUACAGUUCCCCAACUUCUGCCUUCUGAGAAUCAGAACAUCACCCCCCCCCCCCGCCCCCGCCUUCCUGCCCCCUCCCCAGGUUUCUGGCUGCCCAGUCCCUAACCUCUUGGGGGUCCAAAUGCCCCAAGGCUCGUACCCGCCUGUGAGGAGAUGGAAGCCCAGCCUCCCAACCUUUUGGCUUCUGCGGGGACCCAGACUUAGCGUCCCCCGCCCUCCUCGCCCCCACUGCCCUCCCCCGCGGGUGUGAAGAGGAGCCGGUGGCGCAGGCUGGGGCCGGGCCGCUGCCCGUUCCGGUAAAGUCUCAGCCCCAGCGGAAGGGGUUAAGGUUGGAGGAAGCGCCAGGAGGGGGGAGGCUGCGAGUGAGUGACGGGUGCUGACGUGGGGGAGGCAGAGCAGCUGGGUUGCGGUCAAGUUCUGCGGGAAGGGAUUUCCCCCAGCAGGCAGCUGAGGCAGAAGUGUUUGCCUUGGGGGAGAGUCGGAGAGGGAGGGUGUGGGGAGGGCCUGGGGCUGGAGACUGGUGGGCCGGGUGGCCUCUGGCAAGCACCCUGCUUUUCAACAGCAUGGACAGCUCACCACUGGGGGCAGAGACUGUCUGAUUAAGCCCAUUUCAUAGAUGACCCCCCAGAGGUACCCAGAAGGGGAGGGAACUAGGUUUUAUUAGCUCUUUAUAAUCUAGGCCACUUUCUCCUGCUAGGGCUCUGGAGAUGGCCUGCAACCACCCUGGGAGCUCUGCUCAAACAUUACCCAUUUCCAUGCAUUGAGCACUUACUGUUUGCCCAGCCCUGUUCUGUGCACUGUAUUAAUACAUGUGUACAAGAUCUCACUGAAUCCUAAUUGUGAUAGGUGCUAUUAUGAGACCCAGUUUCCAAAUAGGGAAACUGAGACUCAGGGACAUGAAAUCACUCAGUGGGCCAGUGGCGGAGCAGCCCUCUGCUACUUCUCUGCAGAAACAGGCCUGUUCAUCUCUACCUGUGGUUUCCAGGCCCCAAACUAAUUCUCACAGAAGUGCUUUGUAUAAAUCAUGUCAUUUCUUCCUCCCAGAGACCCUCACACGCGAUGGUUCCUGUUUUUACAGAGAGGGAAACUGAGGCACAGAGGGAGUAGAACGUGGCCACGCUGAGAUUCCAACCCAGGUCAAUAGAAUAAUAAGAAUCAUGAUGAUCAAUUGCAGUGAGUGCUUACUAUGUGCUAGGCACAGACCAAACCCUCCCGUGCAGGACUUCUCAGCAGCCUCACAAACAUGUUCUUCAGACUGCAGGUGAUAAACCAUGGGGGUUGUGAAAUCAAUUUAGGGGAUCUUCAAAUUAAUGUAGUGGGCUGUGACCAUGAAACAAUGAAGUCGACUAGAAUAGAAAAUGGCAAAGUAAAGCUGUAAGCUGGGCUCGGUGGCUCACAUCUGUAAUCUCAGCACUUUGGGAGGCUGAGGUGGGAGGAUCACUUAAGCCCAGGAGUUUGAGACCAGUCUGGGCAACAUAGCAAGACUGCUGUGUUUCUACAAAAAAAAAAUACAAAAAUUAGCCAGGUGUGGGGGUAGCGUCUGUGGUCCCAGCUACUCAGGAGGCUGAGGUGGGAGGAUCAUUUGAGCCCAAGAGAUCAAGGCUGCAGUGAGCUAUGAUUGCACCACUGCACUCCAGCCUGGGUGACAGAUCGAGACCCUGUCUCAGAAAAAAAAAAAAGAAAAAGAAAAAAAGAAAAAAAGAAAAUGUCACAGUAGAACCCACAUAGUAAGGGCGAGUAUUGUUUCAUUUUGUGCAAUUUUAAUUUCAAGUUUGUGUGUGUGUGUGUGUGUGUGUGUGUGUGUGCUGGGUUUGAGAUAAAAUAAUAGUAAUAUUAACAAACACUUACUCAACAUUUAUGCCAGGUCCAGUGAUAGUUUUACAUGUAUAAUUCAUAUAGUAAGUUAAUCAAUGAACUGUCUUUCUUGUUUUUAGGUUGUGACAAAAUAUCUAAAGACCACCGUUCCAAAAAUAGUGUUCUAGGGGUGGGCUUGGGGCUCAUGCCUGUAAUCCCAGCACUUUGGGAGGCCAAGGCGAGUGGAUCACUUGAGGUCAGGAGUUUGAGACCAACCUGGCCAACAUGGUGAAACCCUGUCUCUACCAAAAAAUACAAAAAUUAGCCAGGCUUGGCAGUGGGCACCUGUAGUCUCAGCUACUCGGGAGGCUGUGGCAUGAGACUCACUUGAACUUGGGGGGCAGAGGUUGCAGUGAGCUGAGAUCGUGCCACUGCACUCCAGCCUGGGCGACAGAGUGAGACCCUGUCUCAAAAAAACAAAAACAAAAACCAAACAAAAAUAGUGGCCUAGGAGGUAAAUGCUCUCAAGGUGCCCAUUCUUCAGAGGAGGAAACUGAGGCUCAGAGCAGGGAAGGGCCUUACUCAAGGUCACACAGCCUGUGGUGGAGACCGAGUUCUGACUCAGGUCCACUGGGAGCUGAGUGGCCCUGUGUUAUGGACGGCUGGUCUUCCCAACCACCCCUCCCCUUAAUAGGGGACUGUCACUCACGUGUCUCCGUCCUCAUCUGCACGGGUGGCCAUGGCGAUGUCAGCAGAAAGGGGGUGUUCCAUGGGGCACAAAGGCAGUAAGGCUCCUGGACAAUGGAGGACAGAGAAGGGACAUGGGUGAGGCCACACCCACAGACCCUCAACCCGCCCCCCACUUCUAAAACUUUGCUCCUGUGGUGUCACCUGCCCUUUCUCCUGGGUCCCUUUUGCAUCCCAUACAGGGUCCUCAGGGCCUAAAACAAACCCCCUUCCACGUCCCUCCUCUGGGCUCUGGCAGCUUCCUCUCCCUCUAGGGCUGGUCACCCUCAUUGUCACUUAUCUUCUGACCUCAAUCUCCAAUCAGACAAAGGGUCCCUUAAGAACAGAGGGUGCACCCAUCAUCACCUAGCAGGGGACCCCAGGGACUGUCUGCAGAGUGAUUUUGUGGCUGAUGAAUUGCUGGGUGCAGGGUGUGGGAUAAAUGUAGAGUGGGUUUGGGGAGAGUGGAGGCAGAGAGGAGGUGUUACCAGAAGCCUGUUCAAAUUGUUUUUGAGAUGUAGUCUCGCUCUGUUGCCCAGACUGGAGUGCAGUGGCACGAUCUUGCCCCACUGCAACCUCUGCCUCCCAGGUUCAAGCGAUUCUCCUGCCUCAACCUCCCAGGUAGCUGGGAUUACAGAUGCUGACCACCACGCAUGGGUAAUUUUAGAUCAAACUGUUUAAAAAGGGGCCACGGCAGGCCGGGCGCUGUGGCUCAUGCCUCUAAUACCAAUACUUUGGGAGGCCGAGGCGGGCGGAUCACCUGAGGUCAGGAGUUCAAUACCAGUCUGGGCAACAUGGUGAAACCCUGUCUCUACUAAAAAUACAAAAAUUAGCCAGGUGUGGUGGUGCAUGCCUGUAAUCCCAGCUACUCGGGAGGCUGAGGCACAAGAAUCCCCUGAACUUGGGAGGCGGAGGUUGCAGUGAGCCGAGAUCACGCCAAUGCACUCCAGCCUGGGCGACAGAGCAAAACAAAACUCUGUCUCAAAAAACAAAAACAAAAACAAACAAAGGCGAGGGGACCAUGGCAGCAGGCAAAUCCAUACCAACCCAUCACACAGACGGGGAAAACUGAGGCCUGCUUUCUCACUCUUGGAAUAGGAAAGCUGGGAGGCCGUGGCAGAACUCCUGAUGCACAUAGCUUGAGGCUCUCCAGCUGUCACGCUGAUGGGGUGGAGGGUGCAGAAACUACCUAAAGUUUUGGGGCUCUGUAGAACGGCUCUCUGCAGCUUUGGGGGUCAAUUGGGGAUGGUGACGUGGCCACAGCUGUGGUAGAGGACACCCCUUCUUGAGAUCAGGGAUGGAGAUAGGAUGGAGAGAAGAGUGUGUGGUCUUCGUCAUCUGCUGAUCCUUGUGGGCCCUCUGUUCUUGAACUCCCAAGUUUCCAGGUCCUCGUAUCUCCAAUACCAGGCCUUGAGGCCUUGAGGCUUUCUGUCUGGAGACCCCUGAAAUUUUCAUCCUGCCUCUAAAUUACCCAAAGUCUCAGAAUUACCCAAUCUUAGGAUCCUCAGUCCCCUGAUCCCUUCUGCCCACCUGAUCUUGACCUCAAAUAGGACCCUGAUCACUUGUGGCCCCACAUAACUGAGUACCCAGAAACCCGGGUCUCUGUUCUCCUGGGUCCUCAAGACCCCCUGGUAUCUGGGUCCCUGGAGCUCUGGUUCAUUUCCUUGGAUCCUUGUGAUCCCAGAUAUUGGGGUGCUCAGAACCCCAUCUCUGUUUUCAUAAUGCCCAUGUCUCCAGAUAUCUUGGUUCCUGAGAUUGUGACAUCCUGAGAUCCUCAGUAUCUGUCUCCUUAGAACCCCAGUCUCUGUUACCCUGACUCCCUUUGAUUCUAAUAAUAUCAGGAUACAGGGAACCCCAGUUUCUCCAGCCCAGCUCAGCUUCCUCAUAACGCUACACAUCUGGCUUAAGAGCUUGUACUUUCUUGCCCCUAGGAUACCAGGCUCUGUGCCCUGAUUCCCUGACACCCCCAUAUUUGUACCACUGGGCAUUGUCCCUGGCCCCCCCCCCCCCACGUCACUCAGCCCCUGGGCUUUGCCCCCCAGGGUCCCCAAAUCCCCAGAUCCCAAGGCACAGCUUACUGGCUCCCCGAUGAUCUCAUAUCUAUAUCCUUGGAACCUGGGCUUAUAUCCUCUUGUCCCCCAGGUCCCUGGAGAGACACCGGUUUGUGCCUCAAGCUCUGCCUCCUGGCUCUGGUGACCCUAUGCUCUGUGUGGAUCCCACCCGGCCCGGACCCUCGGGGGCCACUCACCGGGGUAGUAAAGCGCCUCCGGCCGGGCCAGGCCGUGGGGGGGCCCGG